GGUACAAUAUACCAGGCUCCACAGCUUUGUAGUGUCUUUGCAGCUCGAGUUGUAUGUUUCUUCAUCCUUUCUAUUUACGUUCAUGUGUUGCUUGGAGGGCACAGACUAAGCGAAGCUGCAUUAAAGUUGGGGACGAUUAGGCAGGUUGAUGCUAAAAACCAGAACAAGCAUUCUGAGACAAAGCCCCCAAUGGUACACAAUCUUUCACACCACUUCUCUUCCGAUUCCUCAAAGAUGAUGUUUUUGUAGAAAUCAGGAGCAACACACCUUAUAUAAGAAAAAAAAGAAUUGAACAGUAUCUAUGUCGAAGAAGUCAAGAGUUCUUUGAGCAACGCGUUCUUUCAGGCUGAUAUUGCUUUAGCAGAGGACCGCAACAGAGGCUCUUUUCUCAGGCUUUUCUUCUGGUACCUCGGCUCUUGCUGCCCUUAUUUUUGGAAGCAGAUGGCAGAGCCAUUCUCUGUAGGAAUGGUGAAGCCAUAGACAUGUCUCGAGACCACAAAC